rnacentral:rRNA from 1 species
GACAGAGGUGCCGAGCGUUAGGCGGAAUCACUGGGCUUAAAGCGUGUGUAGGCGGACGGGUAAGUACCUUGUGAAAUCCCACGGCUCAACCGUGGAACUGCUGGGUAUACUGCCUGUCUUGAGUCAUCUAGGGGCGAGCGGAACAAAUGGUGGAGCGGUGAAAUGCGUAGAUAUCAUUUGGAACGCCAAUGGUGAAAACAGCUCGCUGGGAGUGUGCUGACACUGAGACACGAAAGCCAGGGGAGCAAACGGG